AUUUUUGUUUCCUUUCGAAUUAUGCAUAUCACAACUAAGGCACAAUGAGAACGAUCACUAAUGUGACAAAUGUCUUGGUCAUCGACUCUGGAAUCAGAGAGGACAUUAAAAAGCCUCAGAAAUUGGUAGAGACACACAUUGUCUUAAAAAGAUGACUACGGUUCAGGGGUUUUGACAAGAAAGUGUACCUCUCAGUGCAAGUCCACCAGCCAUUAUUCAAGGAUCAUUAGUUCAAACCUUAUUCCCUUUAUACGUUGAAUUUGUGCUUUAUAUGGCGAGAACUGCAUUGAUAUGGAUAACUGUGAAUUUCAGUAUAAAUCAAGGUUACGAAACUAGAAAAUGAUUUACCAAUUCGUCACGAAAGCUUACCUUAUUCAAGUCUCUUUAUCAACUCCUACAUCCGCACACUCACACAAAAUAUUCCAGCAAGAAACACAUCAAUUAAGGAACAAUAUCUACAUCAAACAGACAGAACCACACAACUUAAAUAUGAGAAAACACACAAUGCUAUAAAGCACUAACCUUUUUCUCAAAUUUUGAUACCCGGUCGGAGCUAUCUUCUGAGAUUAAAGUGGUUUUACAUAAACUCCCAUUGGUUCUAAUAGAAAAGAGUUUAAAACGAUGAAAAAGAUUUAACAAGAUUACCUUGUCAGUCAUGAGUAUAUUAAAGCUCAUCUGAAACUUUUGCUCUUUCUUCAUAAAACCUGUUUUAAACUGCAAACAAUGCUCGUGUACUUUUCAAAUAUAUAAGUUAGUACAAGCUAUAAUAAAGCAAGUAGAUAAGAAAGUAAGAAAUAAGGGAACACUCACAACGCAAUUUCUUGCCAUCAAAUGUGAUUAUUCACACUUUUUGCUAUAAAAAAAAUCAUGUUAAAGUAUGUUUUAUGUUUCUUGAAGUUGCGUUUGGACGUUGUGUGUUAUGUUUUUUGUUUGUGCAUUUGAAUUUCAUUUUGUGUGUGUGAUUUGUUGUGUAUGUUCGAGUGUGGUUUUUCGUGGAUUUAUGUUCUGUUUUCUGUUUCUUUAAGUUGUGUGUUUUGGACGUUGUGUGCUAUGUUUUUUAUUUGUGUGAAUUUCGUUUUGUGUUUUGGUGACUUUAAAAUAGUUAUGUGUGUUUGAUUUUUUUUUUGUGCGUUUAUGUGUAGGUUUUCGUGGAUUUAUGCUCUGUUUUUGAUACAGUGCAAGAGACAUGAUAAGUGGGAGGGAGAGAGAGCGAGCUACUUAACCAUACCUUUGUGGCUACUGAACUGUCUUCAAAGCUUCCUUACAGCUAAACAAUCCUUCAUCCUGAGAAACUUUGUCAAAAAUUCCAUUAGAAAGCUCUUGAAACCAAAGAAACCUUGUUAAUAACACGCAGCUUAAACAUAGAACGAAUAUUUAAAUUUAAAUGAUCAUAAAACCAAAAUUGACAAAACAUACAAAAUCCUCGCUGCUAACAUUUGGUUGCUUGCUCUGCUCAGGUUUUCUAAACAGGUAAUAUACAUUGUUAUGGAGCUGCUAAUUGCAGAAAAAAACCUGUCUAAUUGCGGUAAAGGAGAGAGAUAAAGAGAGACUUCACCUUAAUCAUUGUACGUCUUUGCUAGCGAAAUAGUCUCUCUAUGGUUCUCUGCACUUGAAAGCAAUGACAUUUAUUAGUAAGUCAUCAACUAGUAAGAUAGAGCGGUAGAGCCUAUCAUCUCUGAAAUGGAGAAAUAGACAAACAUUAUCUAGAGAAUCAGGUAAUAUCUUGGAGACACUAAACACUAGAGCCAAAGAACUGAAUCACUAAACAGAGAAAAAUCAUCACAAGAGGUUCUAAAUGGAUAGAUUUUCUUAAUCAAAACACAUGUAACCAACGUUUUUCAAUAACCUACAUGAUUGAAUUGAAACUAGUACUAAACGAACACAAAAUGAAGAUCAUCAUCAUCAGAAUCAUCACACUACUACGAAAUUCACUGAUUCUACUAAAUUGCUAAGAGAUUGAUUACUAUAAAUGGAUCAACAAAGAAACCCGAAGAAAGGGGUUUGUGAUUCCUAACCUUAUUUUGCUUAAUCACAAGGAUUUGUAAUCAAGAUUCAAUUCCACAAUUAUGUUCUGAAUAAUCGGAAGAGAAUUAUGAAGUAAACGAAACAACCGAUGAAUCAAAAACAAACUUGAAAUCGAUCAGAAUUGGGUUUAUUAUAUACCUGAUUGUUUGCGUAAUAUCGGAGGGUUUAAACCGAGUCAAUCACACGCUCCUCUUGACGGCGGUGACAAGGAUUUCCUCCCCAAUUUCGUUUCUCAUCCCCAGAUUCAUCACCGGCUGGAGCCGAAACAAGUUGAUUCCGAAGAAUUUGAUAAUUUGAAUUGUAGAGACGAAGUAUU
rnacentral:lncRNA from 1 species